rnacentral:rRNA from 1 species
UACGUAGGGUGCAAGCGUUGUCCGGAAUUAUUGGGCGUAAAGGGCUCGUAGGCGGUCUGUCGCGUCGGGAGUGAAAACUCAGGGCUUAACCCUGAGCCUGCUUCCGAUACGGGCAGACUAGAGGUAUGCAGGGGAGAACGGAAUUCCUGGUGUAGCGGUGAAAUGCGCAGAUAUCAGGAGGAACACCGGUGGCGAAGGCGGUUCUCUGGGCAGUACCUGACGCUGAGGAGCGAAAGUGUGGGGAGCGAACAGG